AGUGAACGCUGGCGGUAGGCCUAACACAUGCAAGUCGAACGGCAGCACAGUAAGAGCUUGCUCUUACGGGUGGCGAGUGGCGGACGGGUGAGGAAUACAUCGGAAUCUACUUUUUCGUGGGGGAUAACGUAGGGAAACUUACGCUAAUACCGCAUACGACCUACGGGUGAAAGCAGGGGAUCUUCGGACCUUGCGCGAUUGAAUGAGCCGAUGUCGGAUUAGCUAGUUGGCGGGGUAAAGGCCCACCAAGGCGACGAUCCGUAGCUGGUCUGAGAGGAUGAUCAGCCACACUGGAACUGAGACACGGUCCAGACUCCUACGGGGGGCAGCAGUGGGGAAUAUUGGACAAUGGGCGCAAGCCUGCUCCAGCCAUACCGCGUGGGUGAAGAAGGCCUUCGGGUUGUAAAGCCCUUUUGUUGGGAAAGAAAAGCAGCAGGUUAAUACCCCGCUGUUCUGACGGUACCCAAAGAAUAAGCACCGGCUAACUUCGUG
rnacentral:rRNA from 1 species